GUGCAGCAGUCGCGAAUACUCCACAAUGCGCGAAAGCGCGAUGGGGCUAUCCCGAGUGCCGUCCGCUGAGGAUGGCUUUCUCCAGUGUAAGGAGCUGGAGGAAUAAGGAGAGGGCAAGUCUGGUGUCAGCCGCCGCGGUAAUACCAGCUCUCCGAGUGGUAGGGACGUUUAUUGGGCUUAAAGCGUCCGUAGCCGGCUCAACAAGUCCUCCGUUAAAUCCAGCGAUUCAAUCGUUGGACUGCGGGGGAUACUGUUGGGCUAGGGGACGGGAGAGGG
rnacentral:rRNA from 1 species